CUUGGGUGGCGAGUGGCGGACGGGUGAGGAAUACAUCGGAAUCUACUUUUUCGUGGGGGAUAACGUAGGGAAACUUACGCUAAUACCGCAUACGACCUACGGGUGAAAGCAGGGGACCUUCGGGCCUUGCGCGAUUGAAUGAGCCGAUGUCGGAUUAGCUAGUUGGCGGGGUAAAGGCCCACCAAGGCGACGAUCCGUAGCUGGUCUGAGAGGAUGAUCAGCCACACUGGAACUGAGACACGGUCCAGACUCCUACGGGAGGCAGCAGUGGGGAAUAUUGGACAAUGGGCGCAAGCCUGAUCCAGCCAUACCGCGUGGGUGAAGAAGGCCUUCGGGUUGUAAAGCCCUUUUGUUGGGAAAGAAAUCCAGCCGGCUAAUACCUGGUUGGGAUGACGGUACCCAAAGAAUAAGCACCGGCUAACUUCGUGCCAGCAGCCGCGGUAAUACGAAGGGUGCAAGCGUUACUCGGAAUUACUGGGCGUAAAGCGUGCGUAGGUGGUUGUUUAAGUCUGUUGUGAAAGCCCUGGGCUCAACCUGGGAACUGCAGUGGAAACUGGACAACUAGAGUGUGGUAGAGGGUAGCGGAAUUCCCGGUGUAGCAGUGAAAUGCGUAGAGAUCGGGAGGAACAUCCAUGGCGAAGGCAGCUACCUGGACCAACACUGACACUGAGGCACGAAAGCGUGGGGAGCAAACAGGAUU
rnacentral:rRNA from 1 species